rnacentral:lncRNA from 1 species
CACCGUCAUGUUCCAGCGCCGCAGCCCCCCCCGGAACCGCCGGCCCAGCUCCGUCCCCCACGGAUCCACCGUGCGGAUGGUCUCGAAAUCCCACUGCUCCUCGGGGGUGUCAGCGCACCUGCCACAGGUGGGACACAGGUGGGACACACGGGGACACCCAGGGACACCCAGGGGACACCCAGGGGACACCCAGGGGACACCCAGGGGACACAGGGACCCCACGGAUCCACCGUGCGGAUCGUCUCGAAAUCCCACUGCUCCUCGGAGGGGCGCAGGGACCCCAGUUUGUGAGGAUCAUCUCGAAAUCCCACUGCUCCUCGGGGGUGUCAGCACACCUGGGACAGGUGGGACACAGGUGAGACAGGUGGGACACACGGGGGACACCCAGGGACACCCAGGGACACCCAGGGGACACAGGGGGGGACACCCAGGGACACCCAGGUAGCCCUCAGGUGACACUGGGGACACCACAGGGGAACACAAGAACAUUGAGGACACACAGGUAACCCCCAGGUGACCCCCAGAUGACAGUAGGGACCCCAGGUGACCCCCAGGUAAUCCCCAGGUGACACACAGGUGUCCCCAGGUGACCCCCAGGUAAUCCCCAGGUGACAGUGAGGAUCCCAGGUAACCCCAGGUGACAAUGGGGACCCCGGGUGACCCCCAGGUAAUCCCCGGGUGACCACCAGGUGACACCAGGUGACCCCAGGUGACCCCAGGUGACAAUGGGGACCCCAGGUGACCCCAGGUGACAAUGGUGACCCCAGGUGAAAAUGUUGACCCCCAGGUGACAAUGGUGACCCCCAGGUGAUCCCCAGCUAACCCCCAGGUGACACACAGGUGUCCCCAGGUGACAGUGAGGACCCCAGGUGACCCCCAGGUGACAAUGGGGACCCCAGGUGACCUCCAAGUGACCUCCAAGUGACACUGGAGACCCAUAGGGACCCCCAGGUAACCCCCAGGUGACCCCAGGUUACCCCCAGGUGAUCCCAGGUGACAAUGGUGAUCCCCAGGUGACCCCAGGUAACCCCCAGGUGACCCCAGGUGAU